UUUUUAUUUUAGAGAUGUUGUAUGGGAAGGAAAUUGUGAUGAUGGAUGCCAAAACUUAGCAGAUUCUUUAGGAUGGGGUGAUGAGUUAAGAGAGAUGAUUAGAGUUGAGCAUACACGUAUCGACGAGGAAUACGAAAAAAAUAAAAGCAAAGUACAAGAUGAUAAAUGAAUUUUUCAAA